rnacentral:rRNA from 1 species
CCCCAGACUCCUACGGGAGGCAGCAGUGGGGAAUAUUGCACAAUGGGGGAAACCCUGAUGCAGCAACGCCGCGUGAGUGAAGAAGUAUUUCGGUAUGUAAAGCUCUAUCAGCAGGGAAGAAGAAAGACGGUACCUGACUAAGAAGCCCCGGCUAACUACGUGCCAGCAGCCGCGGUAAUACGUAGGGGGCAAGCGUUAUCCGGAUUUACUGAGUGUAAAGGGAGCGUAGACGGCAUAGCAAGUCUGAAGUGAAAGCCCGUGGCUCAACCCCGGGACUGCUCUUGGAACUGCGCGGCUGGAGUGCAGGAGGGGCAGGCGGAAUUCCUGGUGUAGCGGUGAAAUGCGUAGAUAUCAGGAGGAACACCGGUGGCGAAGGCGGCCUGCUGGACUGCGACUGACGUUGAGGCCCGAAAGCGUGGGGAGCAAACAGGAUUAGAUACCCCAGUAC